GACAGAGGAUGCAAGCGUUAUCCGGAAUGAUUGGGCGUAAAGCGUCUGUAGGUGGCUUUUAAGUCCGCCGUCAAAUCCCAGGGCUCAACCCUGGACAGGCGGUGGAAACUACCAAGCUGGAGUACGGUAGGGGCAGAGGGAAUUUCCGGUGGAGCGGUGAAAUGCGUAGAUAUCGCUUGGAACGCCGAAGGUGAAAACAGGCUGCUGGGGUUGUGCCGACGCUGAGACACGAAAGCCAGGGGAGCAAACGGG
rnacentral:rRNA from 1 species